rnacentral:rRNA from 1 species
CUGCGUUCAAGAGUGACGGUCCGCCGACGGCUGGUACUGUCAUCUCUGAACUUCACAAUUCAGUUAUCUCUUGAUGCUCUUAACCGGGUGUCUCGAGCGACUGAAACGUUUACUUUGAAAAAAUUAGAGUGCUUAAAGCAGGCUUUCAGCCUGAAUAGUGGUGCAUGGAAUAAUAGAAGAGGAUCUUGAUUCUAUUCUAUUGGUAAUGAAUUGAGAUAAUGAUGAAUGGGGAUAGACGUGGGUAUUUGUAUUGCGACGUUAGAGGUGAAAUUC